rnacentral:lncRNA from 1 species
UUUUUUUUUUCUGCACCCACGGCAUAUGGAAGUCCUGAGCCAGAGACUGAAUCUGAGCCACAGAUGCAGCAACACCAGAAGCUUAACCCACUGGGCUGGGCUGGGGGUCACACCUGUGCCUCAGCAGCAAGCCUAGCUACCACAGAGACAAUGCCAGAUCCUUAACCCACUAUAGGACAGUGGGAACUCCUUUAAUUUUUGUUAAGAAACAAAUUUUUCUUCAAGUUUCAUAAUUUUCUCUAUUAUUUUCUUCCUCUGAGUCUUCAUGGGACUUCCCCCUUUUCCUAUACCAUAUAUUUUCCUAUACCUAUACCAAUACAUAUAUAUAUUGAUCCCUGUUUACUCAUCCUUAAAUACAAAACAUUUAUCCAGAUGGAAUAGAUUAAAAAUGGCCACACAUUCUUUGAAAUUUUUUCCCACCAAGAGGUUAGUUGUGUUUUCCUUCCCUAUGAAGCUGGGAUAGACUAUGUGUGCACUGACCAAGUCAUGCUAAGCCAGUUCUGGGCCAAGGCUUUAAGAGGACCAGCGGCAUCCUUUUUGUCUUUUGGAGUCCUGAGCUACCAUAUAAGAAAUCAGAUGCUACUGAGGUUGACAUUUGUGAGGAAGCCUAAGAUAGCCAUGUAGAGAAGCCAUGCUGAAUGAAAUACCCCGUCAGUUCCCAGAUGCUCCAUACCCCAGUCAUUCAAGCUAUGUUACCUAAGCCCAGCCCUAAGCCAUCUUUUCCUAUAUGCUGCGCACAAGACUUAAGCUGUGUUUGACUCCAGACCAAACCAAUACCAGCUAGAUAGCAUUGAGUAGCUCCUAUUAAUGCAACAUGAAGAAGAGUGACUUAAUAAAUAACUGCCUGAAUUCCUGACGCACAACUUCAUGAGAUAAUAAAUAUGGUUGUGGUUGUAAACCACCACCAUUUGGAAUAAUGCGUAAUAGAUGAAAUAGUUCAAACAACAGACAACCAAAGACCAGAUUUAACACGUCUCAACAUAGAUGAUCCAUAAGAAGAUUCUUAAUACUCCUUAAUCUCUGUUAAUCUCUAAUGGCCACAAGAAAUUAUCUAGUAUGGUGUACUAAUCACAGCAGGUGAUCUGCUAUAACAAAUCCCCAAAGCUGUUUGUUUUUCCUUCAGAUCACAGUUCCGUGAAGUUCUGGAAAAGGUCUCUGCCUCACAGUCUACAGGCACUCCAAGCUCCUUCCAUCUAGUGGUUCUACAAUUUCCUAGGGUCUUUGAAUCCUUCACUGGAUCUUCUGUAUUUGGCCAGCAAACAUGGGAAGAGAGAAUCCAUAGGAGAUAGUGCAAAAGGUUUUGUGGUUAGUUCUUCAGGUGGCUUUCAUUACUUUUGUCCACUUUCCAUUGGCUAGAAUGGAGUCAUAUGUGGAGGAGGUUAAAAACAAAUCAGUCUAGGUCUAUGCUAAGGAAAGGGAAAUAGGAUAAAUGAACAUAUAACAGUCUCUCUACAUAUGUCCAUAUUAGCAUGGAAUAGCAUCUUCUUCUAAUUUGACUGUCAAGUUUGCCACUAUGCAAGCAAGCCAGAUGCAGAAUAGGGUACUUUUUGUGUACCUCCCCCAUGUGCCUGCUUUCCAGGGCUGCCUGUCUCCCUGACUGCAGAUCUUACCUUUUCCUCUCUAUCAUGCACCUGCUCAGAUACAAAGUCUCCAAAUAGGCAUUAAAAAAGAAGAGUUCACAUGGUCAGGAUGUGAGUGGAAAAUAGAGCAGUACUCUGGCCAGCUCAGAACUCUUGCCUGAGUUUCCAUCAAAGGUCAAAGACUGGACUUGAGCCAAAGCCAUUUCUUGGUAUUCCUCAGGUCUAUAUAUAUUUUUUAUUUGUUUACUCCAUCAAAACGAUCAAAGCUGUAGUCCUCCAAAUGCCUAUGAAUUGGGCCUAUGGUCUUGUCUGUAAUAUUGCCAUCAGCUUUGAUGUGAUUGUGUGUGUGUGUGUGUGUGUGUGUGUGUGUGACUUCAUUUGUCUUUAGUUGGAAAUUGACAGAAUUAUCAGUGGAACUGGGCUGCCACUAAGCCAACUAAAAGUCUCCCUAACCUCUUCGAAUUUUAGUUUUAUUUGUUGUUGUUGUCGUUGUUACUGCUUUUUGUUGUUUUGUUUUCUGGUUUUCUAAAUGUGACUUCCACUUUAGGCUUUCUGUUCGCUGUAAACAAUUACAUCAUGGAAUCUAAAGUUAGCAUUUCUUCAAGAUAUCUAUUCAGUAUAAACAAAAUCAAAGAUGAGUUUUAGAGCAGGGACAACAUUUUAGAUAUCACUAUUUGAUGCAGGUUCUAUUUACCACUGAGCCCAAAGUCCUUCUCAACGCAUCCCUUUGAGAAACCACUACCAAUCAGGUUAUAUAAAGUUUUCAUACCAUCAUGGGUAGAAUGGCCCCAUUUUGUUUGCAUGGCCUGAUCAGUUAAAAGCAUUUAUUAAGCAUCUGUUAUAGGACAGGCAGUGUAAUCCUUGCUGGAGAUAAAUAGCAAAGAAGAGCAUAUCCCAUAUUGCCAAGAAGCACCCAGAGACAAACAAAAUUACACACAGAGUAAAAUGUACUAGAGUAGAUAUAAGUACAGGAUGCCCUAGGAGCACCUGGACCAAGCACCUAUCAUAGUGCUGAGGGUUAGGAAUGGCAGUUUAGAGGACACAGAGACCUGAAGGAUACAUGGGAGUGAAUCAAGCAAAGAGGAAGGGCAGAGCCAUCCACAUAUUCUGGAGCCUUUUCUCAGCUUUCACCCCAUUGCUCUGUUUAAGCACUUCCUUGGGAAAUUCUUUCUCCCAAGAACUCCUGUGCCUCAGGUAUUCCAUGGAAGCAUGGAUGCCAGAAAUAUUAUUAUCUCAUGGUGAAAUCACACUUCUUUGAUGGGGAUGCUGAAAUUGCAAAGGGAUGACAUAAACUGGCUGUGGUUCUUACUCGGGAAAACCUCCAAAAAGCCUCUUCACUCUUCUUUCUUUUUAUAGAACUCUGCCCUCCAUUGUCUCCUUUGGGGGAGGCAGUCCCAGAGUCAAGUUCCUCAGCCCCAGUAAACUUUCCUGAAUUCUUUUUUUUUUUUUUUUUGUCUUUUUUGCCUUUUCUAGGGCCACUUCCCAUGGCAUGUGGAGGUUUCCAGGCUAGGGGUCUAAUCAGAGCUGUAGAAACAUGUCAAAGGAAAGGAAAAUUAUAAAAAACUUGGAAUUGGGGGUUUGGAAGACAAACAUAUUUGGCUGGAAAUUUCAUUGGCUUUGAUCAAGAUUUAUAAAUUAUUAAAGAUAUUUCACUCUAAGCAUGUUUGACUCCAACCAAAUUACGUAUCCAAAUAAGUAUGUCAAAUAAAAUGCCAUAAGAGGAAUGUUAUUGCUAUUUUCACUAGUGUUACUGUAUGUUAAUUCUGUUGACUCCAAAAAAGAGAGGACCUCAUC